CGCACCGUGGGCACUAAUUGAGCCCGGUAAUGAGUCGCUGUGUGUAUGUGAGCUAUCUGCGUUGAAAAACACCCCACAAACAACGGUCCUGGUUAUAACAGAUUGGAGAAAAGAGCUGCAAGGGAUGGUGAGAGUCAAUGCCCAACCUGCACCGAGGGCAGUGCUCUGUCAGUGCUCCAGGGCCGCUGAUGAACCAGGUGCUGUGGGCUGCUGCAGCUGAGACGUCACUAUAAAAGACUAGACGCUUCCAAUUGCUUUUUUAUAAGC
ensembl:lncRNA